UACCAGCACCCCGAGUGGUCGGGACGAUUAUUGGGCCUAAAGCAUCCGUAGCCGGUCCUGCAAGUCUUCCGUUAAAUCCAGCUGCUUAACAGAUGGGCUGCGGGGGAUACUACAGGGCUAGGAGGCGGGAGAGGCAAGCGGUACUUUAUGGGUAGGGGUAAAAUCCGUUGAUCCAUAGAAGACCACCAGUGGCGAAGGCGGCUUGCCAGAACGCGCUCGACGGUGAGGGAUGAAAGCUGGGGGAGCAAACCGG
rnacentral:rRNA from 1 species